CCUACGGGAUGCAGCAGUGGGGAAUAUUGGACAAUGGGGGGAACCCGGAUCCAGCGACGCCGCGUGAGUGAAGACGUAUUUCGGUAUGUAAAGCUCUAUCAGCAGGGCAGAAAGGAAUGACGGUACCUGACUAAGAAGCCCCGGCUAACUACGUGCCAGCAGCCGAGGUAGUACGCAGGGGGCGAGCGUUCUCCGGAUUGAUUGGGUUACAAGGGUGCGCAGGCGGAGGGGCAGGUCAGCGGUCAAAGUGCGGGGCUCAACCCCGUACUGCCGUUGAAACUGGAUCCCUUGAGUGCGCGAGAAGUAGGCGGAAUGCGUUGUGUAGCGGUGAAAUGCAUAGAUAUGACGCAGAACUCCGAGUGCGAAGGCAGCAUGCCGGCGCGCAACUGACGCUCAUGCACGAAAGCGUGGGUAUCGAACAGGAUUAGAUACCCUAGUAGUC
rnacentral:rRNA from 1 species